rnacentral:lncRNA from 1 species
CCAUUAUGAUCAAAUCUUAGUCUUUCAUUUCACUACGACUCCAAAGCCAAUAUCCCAGAGCUCCAAUCAUUCAUCAUCACCCUACCAACCAUGUCAACCACCGCUGAGAUAACCCACCAUCCUUUGCAGGUUCAUCCUCUGUUUCCUUUCCCACACUCAUGCUAUGCUUUCAGUAAUAUUCUGUUUUCAUGAUUGUGUUUGUAAUGUAAUAGUACACUAAUAUGAAGAUUUUAAUGUCUGUUGCAAAAUCCAUGUCUGAAUUUUAACUGUGUUAUGCUUCUGUUGGGCACAUAUAGUAACUGUUUAUCUUAUCUUUUAGUUUCUAUUUCGUAUACAUUUCUUUGUAUUUGCACCAUUUUGAGUGAUCUUUCACAGACUACAAAUUGCUCUUGUUUUCCAUUUUAGUUUGAUUUAUGUUCAUAUUUCCUCAUGAAUUACUGGGUUUCUCAAUGACCGUGAAGCAAAGACACUUCUCAAAUUAGGCAUGUCUCAGUGUCGGACAUCUCAGUGUCGGACACCGACACGACACCAACUUACGAUUAUACUGAAUUAUGUCAUUUUCUUACAUUAUUAUUGUUGUCAGCGUGUCGUGUCCGGUGUCCGUUUCUGUGGCUGUGUCUGUGCUUCAUUGCUCACUGAUGGGUAUGCUUGCUACAAUUUGCUUGUAAAACCAUCAGAAAAAAGUUCAAGACCUUGGAUCAUAUCAUGCCGUGAACAAAGGGGAGGGAUUU